rnacentral:rRNA from 1 species
GACGAACGCUGGCGGCGUGCCUAACACAUGCAAGUCGAGCGGAGAUGAUGUGAGGAAGUUUUCGGAUGGAAUCACAUUAUUUUAGCGGCGGGCGGGUGAGUAACGCGUGAGCGACCAACCUUGCACAGGGGGAUAACGGACCGAAAGGUUCACUAAUACCGCAUGAGACCACGGUGUUGCAUGACACAGGGGUCAAAGGAGGAAUCCGGUGCAAGACGGGCUCGCGUCCGAUUAGGUAGUUGGAGGGGUAACGGCCCACCAAGCCUAUGAUCGGUAGCCGACCUGAGAGGGUGAUCGGCCACAUUGGAACUGAGAUACGGUCCAAACUCCUACGGGAGGCAGCAGUGGGGAAUAUUGGGCAAUGGGGGAAACCCUGACCCAGCAACGCCGCGUGAAGGAAGAAGGUUUUCGGAUUGUAAACUUCUGUCCUUGGUGAAGAGAAGAAGACGGUAGCCAAGGAGGAAGCCCCGGCUAACUACGUGCCAGCAGCCGCCGUAA